AUGGUCCUGUCGGCGGCGUUCGACAGCAGGACGAACGACGUGGAGAGCUCCGUGGCGGCCCGCGGCGACCUGUGGCGCGCCGAGGCGUCGCACUCCAGCAGCAACAGCAGAGGCGGUGGUGAUGGUGGCGCGGCGCCGCUGUUCCUGGUGCAGCUCGGCCCCGUGCUCUUCCUCCGCGACACGACGCUGCUCUUCCCCGUGCACCUCUCCAAGCGCCACCUCAUCUGGUACGGCUUCGAGCGCAAGAACGGAGUGCACUCGGUGUGCCCGGCGUACUGGACAGCUCGCCGGAGAUGCUUCUUCAUGUCGAUGAUCUGCCUCAACCCAUUUGCCUGCUCGUUCAUGGACAUGCAAUUCCCCAACGGGCAGCUGAGAUACGUGGCCGGCGAUGGGUUCACGGCGCGCGGCUUCCUUCCCCUCGACGGCGGCGGCAUCGUCCAGGCCCACGGAAAGUUCCCCGGGGAGAAGAGGCUCAGCUUCUCCUACAAGAACGGCAGCGGGGGCAGCGUCACCCCGACCGUCCAGUGGCCGGACAAGUCCCUCUCUCUGGGGCUAACCCAGGUGCUCUCCUGGAGGAGGUGCGGCCUCAUGCUGCAGCCAGCGCUGCAGCUCAGCGUGUGCCCCACAUUCGGCGGGAGCCGGCCCGGCGUGUCGACGGAGCUGGUCCAUUCGGUCAGCGAGGAGGCCAGCGUCGCCUGCGGCUACUCCCACACCGCCUCCCCCUCAGCCUACGCUUCCGUGUCGCUUGGGAGAUCCAAGCUGAAUGGCGGCGCGACGAGCUCGGGGCUAGUGUUGAGAGUGGACGCACCGCUCCACGGUUUUGGGCGCCCAUGGUUCUCCAUCCAGAUGAACAGUGGGCUCGAGUUCUGA
rnacentral:rRNA from 1 species